UACAGAGGGGGGCAAGCGUUGUUCGGAAUUACUGGGCGUAAAGGGCGCGUAGGCGGCCCCGCUAAGUCGAACGUGAAAUCCCCGAGCUCAACUCGGGGAACUGCGUCCGAUACUGGCGGGCUUGAAUCCGGGAGAGGGAUGCGGAAUUCCAGGUGUAGCGGUGAAAUGCGUAGAUAUCUGGAGGAACACCGGUGGCGAAGGCGGGUCUCUGGGCAGUAACUGACGCUGAGGAGCGAAAAGCGUGGGGAGCGAACAGG
rnacentral:rRNA from 1 species